AGACCUGAGAAGAUUGAUUGAACAAGCCAAGGAGACAUUUUCAAUCAAGUGAAAGAAAAAACCGGACCAGGUCAGUGAUGUUGGGGCAGAGGUUUCCUGAAUCGAUCUCUGGUGAACGGAAGACGCAUUUAUUACCAAUGCGGCCUGAACAGAUUCAGGUGGAUUCACUGCCGUAAGCUAAACAGAGAAAUGCACCUGCACAGUGAGCCCAUAGUAGCGGUUGGGUACAAAAUCCCAGCUGUCGGAAUCCCGGUGGCCA